rnacentral:sRNA from 1 species
GCCGGGCAUGGUGGCUCAUGCCUGUAAUCCCAACACUUGGGAGGCUGAGGCAGGGGGAUCGCUGGAUCCCAGGAGUUCGAGACCAGCCUGGGCAACAUAGUGGAACCCUGUCUCUA